UACAGAGGUCCCAAGCGUUGUUCGGAUUCACUGGGCGUAAAGGGUGCGUAGGUGGCCAGGUAAGUUUGGUGUGAAAGCUCGGAGCUUAACUCCGAAAAGUCAUUGAAUACUAUCUGGCUGGAGGGUCGGAGGGGAGACUGGAAUUCUCGGUGUAGCGGUGAAAUGCGCAGAUAUCAGGAGGAACACCGGUGGCGAAGGCGGGUCUCUGGGCCGAUACUGACGCUGGAGGAGCGAAAGCGUGGGGAGCGAACAGG
rnacentral:rRNA from 1 species